UACAGAGGUGCCCAAGCGUUUGUUCGGAUUCACUGGGCGUAAAGGGUGCGUAGGCGGUCGGGUAAGUCUGAUGUGAAAUCUACGACAGCCUUAACUGUGAAACUGCAUUGGAUACUAUCCGGCUCGAGGAAUGGAGGGGAGACUGGAAUACUUGGUGUAGCAGUGAAAUGCGUAGAUAUCAAGUGGAACACCAGUGGCGAAGGCGAGUCUCUGGACAUUUCCUGACGCUGAGGCACGAAAGCUAGGGGAGCAAACAGG
rnacentral:rRNA from 1 species